rnacentral:Y_RNA from 1 species
GGCUGGUCUGAUAGUAGUGGGUUAUCAGAACUUUUUCACAUUAGUGUCACUAAAGUUGGUAUAGAACCCCUCACUGCUAAAUUUGACUGGCUUUAA